CAUCUACUUAACAGUCAAGCGUCUUUCUUUGUUCUUCCCAGAGUGGGUACAGGGGAGUCCAACUAAAUUUGACAUCGAGUUGGCAAACAUAAAAAUCAAGAUGAAUCUUCACGAAAAGCAGAGAAGGGGAAUCUCACAAUGCUGACCUACUCAUGUUUACAGGUCAUGCCAAGCUGACGAGCCCCUGCCCUGGCACCUUUCCUGGGAGCACACGCCGAGAGGUCGUGCCCCAGGUCACUGGUAAGGGAAUGUACAUCACAGGGCUGUCUGUCAUCCCAGAAAGUCCAACACUAUGAGGACAGACAAGCAGGACACAGGGGAGAGGGACUGUGACAAAGACAAGACUAACCUGCCACUGACAACUAGAAAAAUGGGGAAAUGACAUCUACAACUGUUUAUAGGUACUGGACAUUUUCUAGAAUAUUCCUCGUACAAUUACACGGAGGAGACAGGCAAUUCAAAAGCAAACAAGCCAAUACAUGUAAAUGAGAAUGGCAUGCAUUUCCAUAUUAAUAUGUAUUGGCAUGUCUUCUAUGUACACAGACAUGUGUUUAUGUGUAUUUACACAGAGGUUGGAUGAACAGGAAUUGGGCGAGAUGGGGUAAUGAUCGGGAAAGAAUGGGUGAACUGGGGUGGAUUGAGUUUAGAGGAGGAAGGCUUUUGCAGAGGAGACUAAAGAAAGAAGCUGGGCAAGGGGAGGCCCUACCUUGAGCCCCCGAGUCACCCUGGAAGCUUCCUGGAGGAGAAACUCAGCAGGGUUCCAGACACUGGCGUUGGGGAGGAGCAAGACCGGACAGCGAUCACACGUGACAGUGAUCAUGGCCGCACCCACUUCUCACCCUUCUGUUGAACUACAACCAAGUUCUGCCACAUCCUUGACUCAACUAAACCCCAGCAGCCCCUGGGGGAAGCAGCCCAGGGAAUAAGGGGGGAACAGACUGGGUGAAGCUCAGAUGAAACCAGGUUGGCAAGGACCUGAUGAUUGGAGCUGAGUGAUGGAAACAUGGGAUUUAUCUGAGUAUUUGAAAUUUCCCAAAAUAAAAAGUUAACAAUGC